UCCAGAAAUAUAGCAACAUUUGUUCAUUCUUUCAUUAAAAAAAAAUUUUUAACACCUACCCUGUUCAUGGUCCUUAUUUGGCAUUAUGGAGAAAAAGAAAUUCACGCCCUUAAGAAUCACAAAAUAUAAGAGAGAAGACAGACACCUAUACGAAUAAUUGUAUUAUAAUCAUCUGUAUCACCACUGGAGAUUAUGAAUGGACUGAACAUAAAGGCAGAAGAAACAAAUCAUCAUAACUUAUAUGUGUAACUGACACUGUCUGCAUUCAAGACACCAUGUCCAAAUGGCAGGAUAUACAAAUUAUUGGUGUAGGAUAGCCACUGUGAGGACAGAGCAUUUUAGAAAUACAUUCAACAUAGUUCAUUGAAGAAUGUUCAGUGAAAGACUCAACUUUAAUUAGUGAAACGGUAAUAUUAGAACCAUUGAAAUCAAAGGACUGACACAUAAUUGUUUUGGAACUCAAAAUUAGUCUCUGGUUUCUUCUUCUGUUCUUCAAUCCCAUAGUUUUCCAUUAAAUUAUAUUCCCUUCAUUGAUUUACAUCAGAUAAAAAAUUCUGUCCCCUUUUUGAUGGCAGCAGCUGAAGCAGCAACUCAAGGAGCUGAGCUUUUGUGCACUUUCUGCCAGUCUUAACUGUAGGGGCACAGUGGUUAGGGCUAUAGUCUUGCUCUCAGAUAUGAAUCCAUUAAUAUGUGAAAAGUCACCUUUAUGUUCUUCACUAGUACACAUAAUGAAAUGUGCAUAAUAUAUAAAAGACUAUUUUAAAAGUACCUACUUCUUAAAAAAAUAAAGUAUCUACUUCUUAACAAUUUUCUCCUUUUGAAUUUAUAUUGAUUAUACUGGCCUGUUUUUCUGUAAGAUAAUUAAUUUGGUCAAGGUGGCCUGUAAAAUCCCUCUUAGAUCUACAAAAUACAUGCUUUUAUAUAAUGUCCCUAAACAAACAAGUCUCCAUUGAAUUUAACUGUGAUCUAAUUGACUGCUUCACUAGUCACGGUUUUCUAUCCCAAAGGGCUAGUCACCCUGCCUACAUAAAUGGGUGAUUUGCUUUUAUUAAUUCAUUCCAUUUUUAUUAAUUUUAUGUCCAAUAAUAUUUGGUGAUGAAAAUUGUGACAGUUUGCCAAGGAGGAUCUAAUAUGUAAAACAACUUGGAGAUUCUUCUCGCUAUUUCCUAGGAAAUGGCAAUAUUUUCCUAGCUUUCCUUAAUGGAGUAUGUUAAAGUACUAAGGAAAUAGUGUUAUCUGAAAUGUGAUGUCUUUAAGAGAAAUAUGAUUUGCCUGUCCCCUAAUGAUCAUUAGUUAAUUUAAAUCAAUUUCUUUUGAUAGUGAUAUUGGAGUUAACUGUUAGACUCAAAAUAUAUGUUUAAUCAAUGCAGUUAAAAAAUUAUCUGCAAUUUCAUUUUAGAGGAACAGAAAACUCCACAAUGUCUAUCUUAUAUUUCAUACCCUUCAGUAAAUCAGGCCACUUACAUCAGUGUCAUGGCAAGUUCAGUUGGGAAAUAAAAAUGUGCAGAGCACCGUACAGCACUCAAUUAGCUUGCCCGAAAAUAAUGCACCAAUGUUUACUUACACAGGUAAACUGAGGCAAGGGCUAUUUGAGAAGAGGGCUCAGGCUAGAUUUUAAAUCAGCAGUGCUCAAAUUAUUAUUUCAUUUGUGGAACCCAAAUGAGUCUUCAUUAAAAAAUGUAAUGUAUCAAAAUACUUUGCAAAUUUAAUUUUCCUUCAUCAACACACAGAGCAUUUACAAAUUGAAUAACUUGCAUUUUUAAAUAGAUGGAAAUGAAUUAGUGUAAAAAAAUAGAAAAAGCUAAGCUGCUAAAAUGUACACUAUAUGUUCAUUUUCACAGUCUCUUAACAAAAUGAAUAUUUUAAAUGUACCUUUUGUCUUUGACUGGGAAAAAGAGAAAGACAAGGAAAUUAAUAUUUUUGUAAUAUAGAUGUCAUCUUAUAUUUCAUGCCUGACUCAUUUGAAAAUGUAGAUUAAUUUGCAAACAAUUUAGAAAGCUGAACUAUUGAAUUGGGUCCUCUAAGAUUUAGGAUUUGUCAUCUUUUAAAGUUGACACCCAGCGAGAGCUUGUCAAUUACAAAGAAGUGAAAUGAAGUGAAAAUAAGUCUCAUCUUCAUCUUCUUGUUAUAUGCUUGGUUGGUUAUAGAGAGACACCAUUUACAAGCUCAAAAUAAUUAUUCAGAAAGUUACGCUUCACUUUAAAACCAAAUUUAAGCAAGAGAAAAGUGCCAUUGUGUGAUGGUUAUUUUAUUCAUUGGGUGGGGAGGCUGAGUGGAGAGUAGGAAAUGCUAUAUGGACUCUGAAGGCCAGUGGUUAGAAUGUCUUGCCUUUCUUUCUACUUUUCAUGUUGGUAAUAGAGAUGACUUCAUAUUAUUGCUCUAAAAACAAACAACUCUACUUGCUAUGUUGCUCUCUUACUGUUCAAUGAAAAUGAGGAUUUGGGAGAAAUAACUAUAAUGUUAUUUACACAUUUUAUUAACAUGUGAAUUGAAACAUCCAUGACAGUUCUACUCUCUCCUUGACCUUGCUGUUUAAAUCAUUUUUAUUCUAUCCAUAAAAACAAGAGGCCUAAUGUUGGGCAGCCCAGGUGGCUCAGCAGUUUAGCACUGCCUUUGGCCGAGGGCCUGAUCCUGGAGACCCCAGAUCGAGUCCCACGUUAGGCUCCCUGCAUGGAGCCUGCUUCUCCCUCUGC
rnacentral:lncRNA from 1 species